rnacentral:rRNA from 1 species
UACGAAGGUGGCAAGCGUUGUCCGGAUUUAUUGGGCGUAAAGAGCGUGUAGGCGGCUUGGUAGGUCCGCUGUGAAAACUCGAGGCUCAACCUCGAGAUGUCGGCGGAAACCACUUGGCUAGAGUCCGGAAGAGGAGAGUGGAAUUCCUGGUGUAGCGGUGAAAUGCGCAGAUAUCAGGAAGAACACCUAUGGCGAAGGCAGCUCUCUGGGACGGUACUGACGCUGAGACGCGAAAGCGUGGGGAGCGAACAGG